UACAGCUUAAAUUUAUACAGUAAAUUUUGGGCGAUAGCCAACAGCCAAACAGCCGAUUUGAAGAAGCACUCGUUCGGUAUCAGCCAGUUCACAAAUGUUUCCACACGGUCCACAUUCAGUUCCUCCAUUAGCCAGGCAGUCUCCGACAAGGGUUAAUAAUACCUCAUUUCUAGCAUGAUCUACUGUUAGUUAAUGUCAGCUAGCACAAGCAGGGCAGUAUCUGCAUCUUAUCCUGUCACUCUCAUGAACUUAAUCUUGUGAAAACUUGACAACAAAAUUUAAGUCAAAAUUUAAUUUUCUUCCACACCCUCAUUUUUUAAGAAAUUAUGGACAUGUUCAGAAACAUCACGGAUCCUGGCACCUAGGAGGUAAGCUGACAUCCGUGUUUCUUUUUCACAUCCACAGAAUCACGUAUGUGUCCCCCUAACUAUAGAGUCCCCUAUUACUACUGGCAUCUUCUACAGUUCUCUACCCUUCUGAGCCACAGGGCCAGACUCAGUUUCACAGGUAGAUCAUCCCUCCCAACGGUUCUCAAAAUGGAGUACUUAUUGUUGAGGGGACAGCCACAGGGGUACUUUCCACUGUCGGAUGUUCUCUCUUCCCUCUCCUGACAAUCACCCAUUUAUCUGUCUCCUGUAGCUUUGUGGUGACUACCUCCCUGUGGCUCCUGUCUAUCCCUGUCUAUCACCUCGACACUUUCCCUAGCAAGCCAAAGGUCAUUGAGCUGCAGCUCCAGUUCCUUAACACGGUCUCUAAGGAGCUGCAUGUUGAUGCACCUGGUGCAGAUGUGGCCAUCAGGGAGGCUGGUAGUCUCCCAGAAAUCCCAGAUCUGGCACCCAGAACAGGACACUGGCUCUACAGACACACCUCCUAAUUUCUCAAGUGUUCAAUAAGAAAUAAGGAAUGGACUCUUGUACUUAGCUUAGCUCGGCCUGAUCUCACCAAAGCCUUGCCACUCUGACUCCCACAAUGACCGCUCCCAUGACAACCUCUCCGCUAGAAAGUACCCCUCUUUUAUAGAGACUCCGUUUUUAAAGCUGUUUGCUGGACUUGCAUGAGAACACUUUUACAGCAUCGGUGCAGUACUCCAAUCAAAGCCUCCUGCUGAGAAAACUUCCUGCUUUUUAAAGCUCUUCACCGCGGGAAUGUUUCUACUGCAUCUGUGCAGUACUCCAUUCAAAGUCCCAGGCUACAUCCACACCACGCUGGAUAAAUCCGUAACCAAAGCUUUUUCUCUUCGUUUUUACCUUCCGUCCACACUAAAACGGCGUUUUCAUCCCCCGAAUCCGGAGCUUUUCAGAAACGCUUUCCAAGGUAGAUAUUUUUGAAAAUGCUGUUCAGGCAGAUCAGUGUGGACAGAGUAACUGGAGACUUUUGCAAACGCUGUAAGAUGGCAGCGUGCCAUUUCAUUGUAUUCUUGAACGCAACCUAACAAUUUCGGAACAGACCGCAACGAGACUGAAGCCAAAAGAGUUAGGAAUGUACUUACCAAAUACUUUGACAUAUAACUUACUGAAUAAAUAAGUAUACUGUACUCACUUUGCCAUUUUCUGUCCUUGCUCGUAUGAAGGUGGUUUACCUAUAUGUGCAAGUACUUCUCUGACGAUAGAUGUGUAACAGCCUAAUGUAACGUUGUAUGGAAAUACAAGAUAACACUGAUGCAGACAUGCUGUAUACAUUUAACAAGCGGCUUUACUAAUGCAACAGAGUCAGUCAGUUUUUCAAUGUUCAUCAUCAGCCGGGUCAUACUGUCCGUGAGCUCCCUGUCAGUUGCCUCCAUACGCUCCAGUAUUUGUUUUUUUUUACUUUUAAGUUCACCUGCGCGAAAGCCAACAGCUGUCCGUCUUUUAAGUUUUUCUAGUCUGUAACUACACAAAUGCGGACUUUUACGGUGAGAUUCAACACCAAACAUGUCACUUGUUUUCGGUAGAUGUGUCCUGUGUAUGUGCAGCAGGAGGAUUUUCGCCAAAAUCUCCGUUUCAGUGUGGACAGAGAUAUUUUCAAAAACGCAUAGUGUGGACGCCUAUCGUUUAUACGUGAAACAAGCGUUUUCAAAAUUAUCCGGUCUAGUGUGUAUGUAGCCUCAGUCAGUCAAACACUGGGCCCAGAUGACCAGAUUGUAGAAUGUUCCUUCUGCAAGCGUUCCAUUUUACAUAAUAAACAGCUUCUUAUCAGAGUAUGGUCAGAAUUAGCAGGUCAUUAGCAGAAACUCCUUGUGUCCAUGCCGAACUGUUUUGAUUAAUUUAUCCCGGAGCAAGCAUCAGUUCACCAAAUAGUUCACAAAAAUGGCAGCUGCAAGGACAGUCACAAAAUGGCUGCCUCCAUUCCUGCCACCACACGGCAAGAACAAAGACUUUGCUUAGUGCGUGUCCAGUGCCCUUGGCUCAUUCUUGUACACUGAUUUGUAGCUUGUAGUUCUUUCUGGCCAACCACACAGAUUUGAACUGCCACUGAAAACUAGCUGUUUUUCCAGCUCCGCUCCGUUCCUGCUCGGGAAUGCUUCCACUGCAACUGCGCCACUGCCCUAUCAGAGACUCCCGCUGAAAACUCACUCCCAAUGAUCUCUUGUGUUUGUGGACAGAAUUGUUUAACCACGGUGACAUUUUACAAGACAAUAUUAUAUUUUUUUUCUGAAAAUGAAGAGUGGCUGCUGAAAGCAACUGUGCUUUGUAUGGAAUGAGUGUGUACAAAGUGUGGCAAGAUUAUGGAAAGGAGAUUAAUGGUGAUCUGUGAAGAAAUCCUUCAGUACUGGCAACCACUGCAACCAGGUUUCUCUUGCUGCUGGUGAUCGUCCACACAUUGUCUUCCAGAAACAGCUCUAUUUUUUUCCUUUUCAAGGUUCUUUUGAAGACCCUGACCUGGAGUUACUUUCUGACUUCAGUUCUUUGCGGGAAUGGGACCCACUGUCGGGGUCUCAUGACUGGCUGCGAUUCAAUAUACCAAGGACGCAGCCUAGAAGGCUAGCGCACCUUCAGGGUUCUGGGACUUCGUGGCUCUGGAGGCGGGCAGACUCGAGGUCAGUGCCACCACAGGAAGCUGGUGUGUCGUGGGAGACAGAAGGUCGAAAGCAGCAAGCUGGCUGUGUGCCUAGAGACCUGAGAACUUUGGGCAUAGAGCUCGGAAAAAUCAACACAGCAGACUUUUCACAUCGUAAAUCGGUGAGUUGUUUUGUUAUGUCUCUCCUUCUCACUGUAAAAUGGGGACACUUCUUUUUCCCUUAUUAGGCAGAGGGAGAGCCUGUAGUGUGUCGAAUUACCAGGUGAAUGAGUAGUCUUUGGGGUACAGCAAGUCAGUGUCUUUAUUGAUCUUUAUUGAUGCUUUGCUGCACACUUGAGUGCUCGGUGGGGGGGGGAUUAAUUUCUUUGCUGCUGCUUAUGCAUGAGUGGGUGCUUUGGGGUUCUAACAUUUAACUGCUAUUCAUUCUUUGGGGCAAUCCUCUGUUUUUGUGGAUGGUCGCAAAGAAAAAAAAUUCAGGAUGUAUAUUGUAUACAUUUCUUUGACAUUAAAUGUACCUAUUGAAACCUUUGAAAUAUAUCUGUAAUCCAGAAGUCCUCAUGAAUUUGUAACAUUGGUAACAUGUAAUGUGAACAAGAUGGAGUCUAUAAAAUUCCAGGAGCUUUGCUGGUUUGUAUGGGAAAACUUACACAAGUCUGUGUGUUUUAUGGAAGGAAGAUCUUUUUAUGACAGCUGAUUUUUUUUUUAUGGCCAGAGAAGAUGUUUUGACAACCAAAGGUAACAGGAUGGGGCUUCAAAAGAGCAAAUGUCAGAACAAGAUAAGAUAAAGAUAAUGGAGGACUGUAACAGAGCAUCAUAAUUACUGGUCUCAUGUAAUAAAGAACAUAAAAAUGCAUUGGUUAAAGCAUAAGAUCAGAAGCUGUUUUCUAGCAUAAUGUUUGGAGAUAGUUUCCUCUUACAAGUAAAAUAAUAAAAC